CUUCAAAACAUUGAAAUAUAUUUAAUAACCCGAUAGCCUCAACACUACAUAGCCUAAACUCUUCAGAACAUUGUAGGGACCUUUCACACAAGAAUAUAUUUUGCUAGUCAAGAAUAUAAGAUCGACAUUUAAUACGACAUACAGUAUGUGGCCCAGUUUCGGGUCAUUUCAGGUUUGAACUGCUAUAUCUUCCUUUUCAGGAAAGGUACGAUUUUUAAAUGCUCACUUGAGAAUAGGAAAGGUGUUUCUUAACAAUAUUUCAAAAGAUCGACUUUUCUUACCUUUCACUUCUA